CCGACUUUAGCUCAGUUAAAAGAGCAUCAGACUGCAACUGGUUACCGUAACGAAUUAUCUGAGGGUCCUCUGUUCGAACCAGAGAAGUCGGA